rnacentral:lncRNA from 1 species
AUCUGAGCGGAGCCAGAUACGUUUGUAGUGGUGGGCAGAGGCAUGCAAGAGGGCUUCCCUUAUCGCCAAGGCCUCAGCCAUAAGAGGAGACGAAACGACGGUUUGCAGGAAGGAACCUCUGGAUAUUUCGGUUGAGUCGGGGGUUGGAGAAGAUCCAGGCGAGCCCGGUGACUUUAUGGUCUUUGUUCCAAGCUGCACCUGUGUGGCAGAUGAUAGUAUCGAUCGUCGGCGUCGGGGCCAAGCGAGGCGUCGCUUUGUUAUGAGUUGGCUUGGGU